rnacentral:rRNA from 1 species
CAGCCGUAAACUAUGCGCGUUAGGUGUAUCGGUGACCACGAGUCACCGAGGUGCCGAAGGGAAACCGUGAAACGUGCCGCCUGGGAAGUACGGUCGCAAGGCUGAAACUUAAAGGAGUUGGCGGGGGAGCACCACAACGGGUGGAGCCUGCGGUUUAAUUGGACUCAACGCCGGGAAGCUCACCGGAUAAGACAGCGGAAUGAUUGCCGGGCUGAAGACUCUGCAUGACUAGCUGAGAGGAGGUGCAUGGCGUAGACGUCU